GCUAUAAUUUCUACAUCUUUUGUUACUUAUAUUCACAUUGAAUUUGAUCGAGCUGUGUAGACCCUCAGGAGCUUUUCAUGUGGUUAAAUUAAGAUAUUCACUUGCACACACCUACUACACCAUCCACCACCAUUCAUUAAAAUUGCUAAAAAUAUUAUCACUCACUGUCCCAAAUGUUGUUAUUAUCUCUCUCCAAAAAGCUUCAAUGCAGAAGAGGCAUGGGUUAUGCAAAAAUAUGUGAGGAAAUAAAAAGGGGCAAGUGCCUGGAACCUCGAAAAAGAAAGAAAAAGAGUGAAACGAGAAGUAAAAAUGGACAAGUGUCCGGAGUAGAAUUAGGGGUACAAUGAUGCCCAAUUGAGCGGAAAAAAAUGGACAAGUGUCCGGCAGUAGAAUUAGGGGUAUUUACUACCCACCUGAAAAAAAGUGAAAAGAAAAAGAGAUAGCCCAUGUUCUCCCAAAGCAAAGAUCAAGAGGAGGAGAGAUAGCAAUAUGAGGAGCAAUGAGAAGUAAGUUUUAUCAUUCCUUAUAAAUUUUCACCAUUACUAUCAUUUACUCCACCACACAUGCACAUCUUAAUUUAACUAUAUGUUGAGUUCCUUCGGAUCCAUGGCUCGAUUAGACAACAUAUGUAUGAGCUGUUUUUCACUCCUAUGAGCUCCACAUAAACAUUGCCUUAGUUAUAGGAAAGUGACAUUUUUGGUAAGGAUCCACAAAUACCAUAUAUAGAGAGAUUUGAGAGUAUCAUAGCUGGG
rnacentral:lncRNA from 1 species